ensembl:lncRNA
GUAGAGCAAGAAGAGACAUUGCCAUUGUUCAUAGGACUGCAUUUGCAAAACUAAUAGGCAUAAAGAGGGGACAAAUGUGAGUGCCAGGACUGCUUGACCCCAAGGUUCCUGGCUCUGAAAUUUUCUCCCAUUGGAAAUCUACUCUGACUACUGCAGGACAAGCUUCCUGGCAGCAGGUAUCUCUGAUCAACACCGUAUCAGAAGAAAAUUAUUUGGAAGGGACAUGAAGCAACUUGCUUUGCUAUUUCAGGAGAUCAGCUUUAAAAUGUGAGUUACAUCAGCCCUCCCGAUCUGGACCAAAGUAUGCAGCUGUCAUUUUGAGAGAGGCUUGCUCCAAGGAUAUCACUGCUGCUGGGGAGGAAAAGCCUACCUCAUCUUCAGGGUCAUUCUGCUGUUGAUCAUAAAUCAGCUGAAAAUGACCGCAAGGUAGUUCUGCUUUCAUUUUCAAAUGAGUUCUUCAAAUCUGUGGUUCUUUUCACUAACUGGGUUUCUAGAGAAAGCUGUAAAGUGUGUGAAAUCUGCUCUGUCUGCUUUGCUGGUGAGAAGAUGGGUGGACUGAUUAAUGUCAUGGCAAUCUCAUAUGUUAGCCACUUUCCUGCUGAAUGUAACUUUACCUGCUACCCCAAUGUGACUAGACUGCACUUUGCAUUGCUGGUUUAGCUAUCCUCUUUAAUUCUGUACGUGGACAGAAAUAUUAGCAACAAACAAGAACUCUCUCCAACCUACCACAAAUUCCCUUCAGUGUUUUCUAAGUAAAAACAAUUAAAGUUCU